UACGUAGGGGGCGAGCGUUGUCCGGAUUUAUUGGGCGUAAAGAGCGUGUAGGCGGCUCGGGUAGUCUGGUGUGAAAUCUUUCGGCUCAACCGGAAGCGGUCACUGGAUACUCUCGGGCUUGAGUCCGGAAGAGGAGAGUGGAAUUCCUGGUGUAGCGGUGGAAUGCGCAGAUAUCAGGAGGAACACCAAUGGCGAAGGCAGCUUGCUGGGACGGUACUGACGCUGAGACGCGAAAGCGUGGGGAGCAAACAGG
rnacentral:rRNA from 1 species